CAAGAAAGUGAAGAGAGUAGAGAGAAAUUCAAGAAAGUGAAGAGAGAAGAGAGAAACUUUUCGGUGGUUUUUGAUGUCCUUAUACCAAGGUGUGGCUGAGCUCAUGGACCAAAGUCAUGUGGAAAUGAGUUGCUGAAAAAAGCAGAUGUAUUGGAGAAAGUCCAAGAAGCUACCACACAACAGCCUGGUCAGUAUUCUUCAAAGUGUCAAGCAAACUUA